rnacentral:rRNA from 1 species
CACGUAUUUAGCCGGAGCUUCUUAGUCAGGUACCGUCACUUUCUUCCCUGCUGAUAGGGCUUUACAUACCGAAAUACUUCUCCACCCACGCGGCGUCGCUGCAUCAGGGUUUCCCCCAUUGUGCAAUAUUCCCCACUGCUGCCUCCCGUAGGAGUUUGGGCCGUGUCUCAGUCCCAAUGUGGCCGGUCACCCUCUCAGGUCGGCUACUGAUCGUCGGUUUGGUGGGCCGUUACCCCGCCAACUGCCUAAUCAGACGCGGGGCCAUCUCAUACCACCGGAGUUUUCACACUGUACCAUGCGGCACUGUGCGCUUAUGCGGCAUUAGCAGUCAUUUCUAACUGUUAUUCCCCUGUAUGAGGCAGGUUCCCCACGCGUUACUCACCCGUCCGCCGCUCAGUCACAUGGCUUUCCAUCCGAAAAUUUCAAAAUCAUGUGCUUCGCUCGACUUGCAUGUGUUAAGCACCGCCGCAGCGUUCAUCCUGACGCCAGGAUCUAAACC